rnacentral:misc_RNA from 1 species
GAUGAAGAACGCAGCGAAAUGCGAUAAGUAAUGUGAAUUGCAGAAUUCAGUGAAUCAUCGAAUCUUUGAACGCACAUUGCGCCCCCUGGUAUUCCGGGGGGCAUGCCUGCUCGAGCGUCAUUUCACCACUCAAGCCUCGCUUGGUAUUGGGCAACGCGGUCCGCCGCGUGCCUCAAAUCGACCGGCUGGGUCUUCUGUCCCCUAAGCGUUGUGGAAACUAUUCGCUAAAGGGUGUUCGGGAGGCUACGCCGUAAAACAACCCCAUUUCUAAGGUUGACCUCGGAUCAGGUAGGGAUACCCGCUGAACUUAAGCAUAUCAAUAAGCGGAGGA